UACGUAGGUGGCAAGCGUUGUCCGGAAUCACUGGGCGUAAAGCGCGCGCAGGCGGCGAUCUACGUCUGGGGUGAAAGCCCGGAGCUCAACUCCGGGACUGCCUUGGAUACGGGAUCGCUUGAGAAUUGGAGAGGCAAGGGGAAUUCCACGUGUAGCGGUGAAAUGCGUAGAUAUGUGGAGGAACACCUGUGGCGAAGGCGCCUUGCUGGCCAAUUUCUGACGCUGAGGCGCGAAAGCGUGGGGAUCAAACAGG
rnacentral:rRNA from 1 species